UAUUACUACGUUACACUGCAUCCCUUUUCUCACCGUGGACCCGAACCUGGUAGGGGGACAGGGGGAGGGGCGGGGAAGCUCUACUGAUAAUACCAGCUUUAACUACUAGAGUUUCCCUUUGAACAAAUAUUCAAUUUAACUGGAGUUAAUUUACCAUAAAAGACAUUCCCCUUGGCACAAAUGCACUCGUGUCCUUGAACACACCUCUCUGAAUGCCUAGACUCACAGAAACCAUUAUUUUUCGGGGUCUCUUUAAAAAAUCGAGUGCCCAUCUCCCUUUCUCUCCCUCCCUUCUGCCCUCCCUCCUCACCACACCACCCCCAGUGAAAUCCUGGCACCCAGAGAGCACUCCUUUCAGCCAGAGAUCCCAGAACCAGCCGCUGUCCCCUGGCAAAAGAGGCCCAGUGCUGAGCCCUGGGCAAGUGUCUGCAGACAUCGGUGCCCCUCCUCCCUGAUUAGUUUCCCUUCCCAACAGAAACCACUUCCUUUUGCCACCAAAACUAGGCUGCAUCCUAAAGUUUCUCACAAGCUUAAAAACGAGAAAUGAAAAUUGACAACCGUUACACAGAGGAGCUCACAAAAGCUGCAGCAACAGGAGGGGUGAAGGAGCAGCGACAGACACAGGCCUUGGAGCCACAGGCAGGAUGGCUGACAUCCCCCACAACACUGCUUCUUGUCCAGCCAAUGCCAAGGUCACUACAGGCCUUCCCAGGAUGAACUCUAAGAGAGCCUUUGUAAAGACUGACUGGUGGAUUUGCCUGUGUGGGACAUCUGGCUUCUCUCAGCACAACACUAGUCCUCCACUAUCUUUGGUUGGAGAAAUACUAAUCUUUUAAGUCCCCAGAAGAGAUUAAAAAAGGAAGUAAGAAAGUAUAUACAUUUUAGCCACUUUCCUUUUUCCCCAGUAUGUCUGUGCCGUGGUAUUAAGACUGAUUUUAAAGUAUCGCUGAAAAGCUUCUGAUACUGUAAGAAUGGGCCAGACACUUCUCAGACAUUGGUACCUACCUCUCCUAAACUCUGUUCUCUUUCCCACAGUGAUACACUUAGAACAGCUGGUAUGACAGGCCAAUUUCAUUCACCCCAAAAGCUGGCUUAAGGAGUUAGAAAGAAGUGAAAGGUUCCUGCGGCAACAGGAAAAUCUGAUAUUUCAGAAUUCCUAAAGAUUUCCUCCCUAGAUCAUCUAUCACCUGCCUCCUUAUAGGUAAAAAAAAAUUCGUUUCUGACAAAUAGUUUAUUGAUUUCAAGAAGUAAUGCCAGUGCUUCAAAUGACUAGAUUUUUCAAAACUCAGUUGUAUAAUAUUAAAAACUUAAUCAGUGUUUACCCCAUUGUAGCCUUUCAGUGACGUCCAGAGAGGAGUUUGACAUCUCAAGUAUCUCCUAAUAUUGAUCUUCUUUUAACCUCCCUUGUAAAGAAACUCAGUGGCAGGUUGAAAAUCCUAGGCAGUUUAGGGAAAAGUUUCUUGGAGCUUAACAAAGCUGUCAUUUUCAAUACAUCGGAUGACUUUUUCUCUAUUGCAUAUGAUUUGAAGGGGAGGCUCAAUAAUUCCACACACCCUGGCUUCACUGCCAAUAUCAAUAUUUUAAAACUAAAUACAAAAGACACAGAUGACCUCCUGACCCCAGGAAAUAGGCCUGUGAAACUGUAAGUAUCCACCACACCAUGCCCAGGGACCUUCCUUCUUCCAAAUAAACCACAAAAAAGAAUGUGUAGCUAGCCUGGAAAACACAGUUUUAUAUUCACAAGCAGGAACACCAAAAAGCCUCUCAAAAACGCUUAUAUAAACAACCAACAAGUACUGAAAUUGCCUGCACUUGAUGGGAAUUGCAAAACCAUGCCCAGCUCUCUCAGCCCUUAAACUACUACUGUAAAAUGAGGGUAGCAAUUUUUUCAUACUAGAAAAUUCACAACCUGUUAGGCUCCCCACCCCGCCCCCACCCGUAUUGCCAGGCUUUGCCUUUCACUGAAAUGAAUAAGUAACCACGGACUUUUUUUCCCUCCUCUGGGAGCUGUUUGGUGUCCCCUGAGGACAAAACUAAAUGAGAAAAAUGACGUUGUUAAUGUCAUUGCUGAAAUGCCUGUACUCCACUGUUAAA